CCUACGGGAGGCAGCAGUGAGGAAUAUUGGUCAAUGGGCGCGAGCCUGAACCAGCCAAGUAGCGUGAAGGAUGACUGCCCUACGGGUUGUAAACUUCUUUUAUAAGGGAGUAAAGUGAGCCACGUGUGCCUUUAUGUAUGUACUUUAUGAAUAAGGAUCGGCUAACUCCGUGCCAGCAGCCGCGGUAAUACGGGGGGUCCGAGCGUUUAUCGGAUUUUUUGGGUUUAAAGGGAGCGUAGAUGGGUAGUUAAGUCAGGUGUGAAAGUUUGCGGGUCAACCGUAGAAUUGCCAUUGAUACUGGCAGUCUUGAGUACGGUAGAGGUAGGCGGAAUUCGUGGUGUAGCGGUGAAAUGCUUAGAUAUCACGAAGAACUCCGAUUGCGAAGGCAGCUUACUAAACUGCCACUGACAUUGAUGCUCGAAAGUGUGGGUAUCGAACAGGAUUAGAUACCCUUGUAGUC
rnacentral:rRNA from 1 species